ensembl:lncRNA
CGGAGCUGGCGCAGACCGAGGGACCCACCGCGCAGUGCUCAGAACCUGGGCUUUGGUUUUGACUGUUUACCCUUGAGCUGAAAUGCGGCAGUCAAGCUCCAUGUCUAUUGGUAGCGAGUGAUUCCUUGUUAAAGACAGGAGAAAGGAUUUCUCUAUGAUAAAUACAGGACUUACUGAAAAUUGAACUAGUCAAAGCCGGGUGUGGCAGUGCGCACCUGCAAUCCCACCACUCCAGGAGGCUGAGGCAGGAGGACCACAAGCGUGAAGCCCGGCUUUCAUUGGGAAACUUCGCGACUUACUGAGACCCGCUCUCGGAUUUCUUUAAAAAGGCAAAAGGGUGGGGGAUGUAGCUCAGUGCAAAGGGUCUGGGUUCAAACCCGCUACCAAAGCAAGAGACUUCAUCUUCCCAGGAAGAGGGAGACAAACUUCAUCUUGCAUCUCUGCCAAGUGUUAGGUCAUCUCGGUGCUCAGCGAGGCUGUGGCGCCGGAGUCGGGUUGCUGGGUCUCCCUGGAGAAUCUUCCGGGCCCGGGUCGGCGCAGGCUAACUGGGAAGCCAGCCCCGCGGCCCCGAGGCCACCACCACCCUGCUGUGGACACGGGACUGUUCAGCUCAGCGGAGUGGGAUCUCGCAGGAGCAUUCGGGAGCCAUGGGCGGGCUAACUGGAAGUACAGUGGACCCUUGACUUAGGGACGUGAUCAGUUCCGGAGGGCUGGUUGUAACUCAAGUUGGUGGAAACAGUUGCGGAGCACUGACUGCCGGCCCGGUCCGGCUCCGGAGGCUGGAGAUGUAAGAAGAAGCAGCAGAGCGGAUUUUCUGUCCCUCAGUUCCCAGGACAGUGUGGCACAGUGGCUGAUGCUGGUGCCGAAGUCAGAGGAUCAGAGCUUCAGGCUGGGACAUAUCUGGAUCCUGCUGCAGCAAAUAUUCACAGUAUUUCUACAGACAGCCAGGACAGAGCUUUGAACAGGCGGUUCACCGAAUCCAGCAGUGUGCUGGUCCUGGCUUACCAACCAGCUGCUUGGGAAAGAGCAGAAGUCCUCAGUUACAGACAGAUCAUCAGACUAUAUCUGUCAAAGAUCUCAGUGAAUGUGGAAAGUGUCGUGAAAAUGAGAAGCCGUUCAAAACAAGCAGAACAGAAUAACCUGGUGAGGAGAACAUGCAGGAGGCACCACCAAGUGGCAGAGGCAGGCGGCUUGCAAGACACACGGCUUUCAUCCUGAGAACAACGGAACUACUGAAGGAACUUAGCGAAGAAGGGAUGGGCAGGGGUGACAGUGGGACUUAUCCAUGUGGCUUUUGGCUUAGAGACGCAGGACAGGUGGCAGCUCUGUCCUGAAAUGGGAGCAGGAGACGCAGACUAAGCUGCAAUUGGGAGUAGGCACUGAGGGGAGGGCCGAGGCUCAGGGGUUUGGAUUCAACUCCUCAGUGUAAAGUUGACAACCGGUGAGGUUGUACAGGAGACAGGGACACAGAGGAGCUCAGACUGUGAAAGGACAGGCAGAGAAAAGCCCUGGCCCGCCCCCAAAAUGGUCAGAGAGGUAGCUGGAAAAUCAGAAAUAGACGACAUAUUAAAACUUGUAGCAGGCUGGGGAUGUAGCCUGGUGGUAAAGCAUGCAUGAAGCCCUGGAUUACACACACACACACACACACACACACACACACAUAACUUGCUCACUGCUCCCACACAUGCUCAUUGCUUGGGUCCUGUUAUUAGAAAUAAGUUUACUUAUGACAAAAUGUGACUUGUUUAUAUAUGAAACAAGCAGCGAUUCCUCAUUUGGAUCACAGGGCU